AACGAACGCUGGCGGCGUGCUUAACACAUGCAAGUCGAACGCGAAAGGGACUUCGGUCCUGAGUAAAGUGGCGCACGGGUGAGUAACGCGUAGAUAACCUGUCUUCAUGUCUGGAAUAAUACGCCGAAAGGGGUACUAAUACCGAAUAUUCUUGCUUUUCAUAAGUUAUGCAAGCAAAGGUGGCCUCUGCAUAUGCUACUGCAUGAAGAGGGGUCUGCGUACCAUUAGCUAGUAGGUGGGGUAAUGGCCUACCUAGGCGACGAUGGUUAGCGGGUCUGAGAGGAUGAUCCGCCACACUGGCACUGGAACACGGGCCAGACUCCUACGGGAGGCAGCAGUGAGGAAUAUUGCGCAAUGGGGGAAACCCUGACGCAGCGACGCCGCGUGAGUGAGGAAGGCCUUCGGGUCGUAAAGCUCUGUCAAGAGGAAAGAAGUGUACAAUGGCUAAUACCUGUUGUAUUUGACGGUACCUCUAAAGGAAGCACCGGCUAACUCCGUGCCAGCCGCCGC
rnacentral:rRNA from 1 species